rnacentral:rRNA from 2 species
UCUUGCAUAUCAAAAAAGCGGAGGAAAAGAAACCAACCGGGAUUGCCUUAGUAACGGCGAGUGAAGCGGCAAAAGCUCAAAUUUGAAAUCUGGCGUCUUCGACGUCCGAGUUGUAAUUUGAAGAAGGCGACUUUGUAGCUGGUCCUUGUCUAUGUUCCUUGGAACAGGACGUCAUAGAGGGUGAGAAUCCCGUGUGGCGAGGAUCCCAGUUAUUUGUAAAGUGCUUUCGACGAGUCGAGUUGUUUGGGAAUGCAGCUCUAAGUGGGUGGUAAAUUCCAUCUAAAGCUAAAUAUUGGCGAGAGACCGAUAGCGAACAAGUACAGUGAUGGAAAGAUGAAAAGAACUUUGAAAAGAGAGUGAAAAAGUACGUGAAAUUGUUGAAAGGGAAGGGCAUUUGAUCAGACAUGGCGUUUGCUUCGGCUUUCGCUGGGCCAGCAUCAGUUUUAGCGGUUGGAUAAAUCCUCGGGAAUGUGGCUCUGCUUCGGUAGAGUGUUAUAGCCCGUGGGAAUACAGCCAGCUGGGACUGAGGAUUGCGACUUUUGUCAAGGAUGCUGGCGUAAUGGUUAAAUGCCGCCCGUCUUGAA